UAUUUUAAUAAAUCACAAAAAUAUCAAAUCCUAUCUUUUUUAAUGUGGAAAAUAUUUAAAGAGCUCACAAAUGGAUAAUCAACAAGAAGGGCAUAAUUGUUAACCCUCUUGGAAUCUAUUGGAAUAUUCUCAAAAAAGGAAUCCUAAUCUCCAACACAAAUUUUCAAACAUAUUGUCGUAAGCAAGAAAUCAAACCUGAUUAAUCAUCCUGCAAGGAACCCCGAUUAAAAAUCCUGACGACAUCACGGAAUUUAAUGGCAAUAAAACAUAAAAAUUAAAAACUUUUCAUUUUCAUACUCACAUCCUUCCGGUUCAUCCUUCCUGACUGACGACUGAUGAAGAAUGGUGGUAGGAACAACAACCAGUGUUCCAAUGGCAAUUAUCUGGGAGGUUUCUCCGUUUGCCUUUUGCAAUUGUAUUCGUUCGGAAAACAAAUCACUUUUAAUACUUUUAAACGAAGGGAAAAGGCAACACGAGGAGGAGUUUGGUGAACAGUUCCAUAGCCAUAGUCCGUGCCUGAAUCGCAAAGUAUGUUUAUGAUGCUGCGAAAGCGAUGGAAGAUUUAAGUCUAAGAUGCUAGUGAAGAAAGUUUCCUUAUGUAGGGGCUGGAU